CAGCUGAUGAAAAUUGAAAAGUGAGAAAACAACCAUUGCAAAUUUGCAAUAUUGCAUAGUGCCGUGACUGCCAUCACGUAGGGCUUUCACAGCACUAACACUCCCAAGUCCCAAGUCCCAAUUCCCAAAUCGAAGCUGCUCUCUGCCUCUCCGGCCUCCGCCAGUCCGCCGCGCUCUACGUCUCCUGUCGGCUGUGUCCUGCCGUGCUGGUUCAUCGCUGCCGAGUGUCGAAGACGAAGCACCAAGAUCUCACUUGUUCAUCGCUGGUUCAUCACUGCUCAUCUCUGGCUCACUUAGUUAAAUCCAAAGCCUAAAUAAACAUUAAAGAAGAACUGCUUUCCUUCCCGCCAAAAGCACUAUCAGCAUUGUAGGCAGAAAGGGCUAGAGUCUCACGGAGGGGUCAUCGAGCUAGGUCAGAAUUCCGGUUCUAUAAAACUCCAAAACCACACCACCCUCUACUCCAAUUAUGGCUGAGGUUACAAUUUUUGAAGGCAUUAGGGCUCAAAAUCUGACCUUCACAGAGAAUUUGAGGUUGUUAGGGGUCCAGCUAUGGCAAGUACUGAAUAAUAAUCGUCGUUCACUCCUUGGCAUUGCUCAAUUCACCCUGUUAGCGGUCGGAUGGGUGAUGUUCGCAUUCUUCACCGACGACGGCAACCGGAUUGAGGGUAUUAUAAUGCCAGAGUAUGAGUAUUUUGGGGCAGCUACUUUUCUGACAUUUGCGGGAACAAUUGGAUGUUAUUGUUCUCUGUUGGUUUUGUGGCUUACUCAAAAGUUGAUACACUGCUUGAGGCAGUGUGGGUUCAACGGAUUAUCUAGUUCUGUCACUUUCGUUGCCUCUGCGAUCUUCAGCGCGUGGUAUCUGUUCUUAUCCGCUUUCUUGGGGCUUUGUGUCGUGGAGGACGUGACUUCCUUUGAUGCUAUGGUGGCGAUUACAUGGGGGCUAUUUGUUUCUAUGCUGUUUCUGGAAUUGCCGGAUGAUUUUGGGCUCACCGAUUCCUUUGUAGCUGCCAAUUUUGGCAUUGCAAUCAAAUUAUCUGCAUCACAUUCUAUCUGUCCAUCAAAAUUGUUUGCCAUGCAUCUGUCCACCGCUACCUGUUCAUUAGAAUUGUUUGCCAUGAGUCCGUCUACUGCACCGUCAACAUCUCCCGGUCUAGUAGUUCUGAAGAGGAUUGCUAUUGCCUUCACCCCAUUAUUGGCAAAGAUGGUGGUUACACGUGUCCUAGGCUUAUGGACUCACAGGCAAGAGGAAGAGCUUGUUGCUGGAUUCGCAGAUGCGAGUCCAGAAUAAGCUGCUUAGCAUGACUUGAAAGAAUAAAGAAGACAAUGAAGAAUAAAUGCUGGGGAAAAGUUACCUAUGCUGGUGGUGGCAUUUGGAUUUUGUGGAUGUUUAAGAAUAAAUAAGCAAAUCUGAUUAGCACUCUACCUCUCUCACUAAGCACCGGUUGCCUAAAUAGAUGGUGAAUGUUGAUCUGGCCAUCUCCAGCCAUGGAGUGAUUGUUAGAAUUGAAUAGGGAUAUGGCUUGUCAAGCAACAAGACCACUUGAUUGGAAAUUUGGCAUCAAAGCUGCUGCAAAACUCCAAUGGGAAAUCCAAGCAGCUGCGCCACUUCGGACCACCUCCUUGCACGGUCUUGGUUGACAAGAACACUAGCAUCAUCUGCCAGGGCAUCGCCAGCGAAAACAGAAGCUUACAAACUGAACAAGCCACCAAAUUCGGCACCAUAAUGCUAUUGUUGGAUAUUUUACUCCUAAUGGCGAGCCAAAGGCAGAAAAGAAGCUGAUGGGGGCAGGCUGCUUGGAAUGAAAGGACGCAGGGAAAGAAAAAGGAUGGAAGAUGAGUAAACGGAACAAGCUGGGAGAAAGAAGCUGUCUGCUUCAGCCAUUUGCAUCUACUACUGAGAAGUUAUAAACUCUGUGACAAUCAUUGUUUCCUUUUUGUCAUGUUUUACUCCUCAAGAACUAGAAAAAGCAAUGGAUGAAAAUUAUGGGAAAAUAGUUGAUGAGAAAGCUCAUAUUCUAAAAGUCAAGAUGGAACUAGAUGAUCAGCUAGAAUAACUCACUUCAGAAUCUGAUCAUUAAGGUCACAUGGAGCUGGAUCAGCACUUACUCUCAGAAGGAAAACCCCACAUUAUUAAUCUCUUCUCUCUUCUAAGGUCCCCUUUCCAAAAAUUUAUUGAUGAGUAGAUUAUAUGAUGCAUGCAUAAGCUUUUAAGGCUUAAACUGUGUGCUUUUUGUGCCAGGUUCUAAGAAGGUUCAAAAAAACUGAAAAUUGUCCUGUUUCUAAAAUUGACAAUCAACAGCCGAGGUACAACGUAUCUCUAAAAAUCACCGGCCGUUUCAGCUCAUCUGUUAAUAAUCCUUGGAGGUUCAAUGCCCAUGUCUCCGCAAGUUCAAUCUUAGCUUCUCCGUCCUGAAUUUGCAGCUUAUCUUCAGCAGAGCAAAACUGUGAAGAAGGAGCUGAGUAUACGCUGCAGAGCCACCCGGGAGAAGCGGCAGGGCCACUAUCAGACUUCAAGAAGCAUAAUCAGCUUGCAAGUGCCAUUUCGAAGUCGCGGCUACUUGCUCAGCGAAGGAUUUUGAUCCGCCUCUGCUCAGCUGUUGCUUCGUCGAGGGAGAUUCAUCGUGGAAUCAUUUUUUGUUCUGCUUUUUAGACUUCAGAGUGCUUCAGGUGCGGCUUUAGCAGAUUUGCAUUUGAGGAGCAGGUUGAGUGAUGUACUAAACUGGGUUUGAUCACUAUUUGUCUGUGAUGGUCUCCGAUUAUUUUGGAGUGUGUUCCAAUCACAUGCUAGGUAUGUCAUGGAGGCAUUAUGGAAGUGAUCUCCAGUCAUGAGGUUCUUGGUGAAUAGACGUCCUUAAGUAUGACACAUACUUUUUGUAAGUUCAUGCUAGCUAUGUCUUACACCUCCCGUCCUCUCUGAUCAAACGUGGUACGGAAUUGACAUGUUGAACUAAGAUGAAAUUUUGGAAGAUCAUACAUCUCAUUCUGUAUAGGGUGACCGGAGAUAUGUGGUGCUCAAUCGGAGUUGCUCGCUAGUCAAGAAAAAUUCCUCCCCUAACUUUUUAGUUAAAAUUUGGAGAAUGACUAGCUUUCUAUAGAUGUCCCAUGCCCCCAGCAUAGUUUGUAAACUUUCUUGCAUGUUUCAAUGAAGAUUGUGUUCUAUUCUGGUUCUCAGACAAUUUUAGUAGAAAAUCUAUUUGUUUUUGAUAGAUAUAUUAGUUGCAUUUUAUAUCCAGAAAUUUUCUGAAUUAA